rnacentral:tmRNA from 1 species
ACCGGAAUUGACAGCUUGAGCAGCUGCGUGUAAGCAUGCCGGGAGUUGAGAGGAUCUCCUGUCAAAAAUUCUUUCAAACAAUAAAUGGCGAAGAAAACUACGCCCUUGCUGCUUAAUUAGGAUAAUUAACUAGCAUGUGCUUCGCUAGCCCCACGUACUGCCGGGUUAGCAACCGAAGCAUCACAAUGCAGUGCUGGCUUUUACAAGGUCAUGGUGUAAAAGUGAGAUUAAGUGACUAAGGAAUGGAUACGUUUGCUACUGACCUAUUCCAUUCCCGACAAUCUGACAGUAGCUAAGCAUGUAGAAGGCACGUUGGUUUCCUUGUCUGGACUAGGGU